rnacentral:rRNA from 1 species
AACGAACGCUGGCGGCAGGCUUAACACAUGCAAGUCGAACGCAUCCUUCGGGGUGAGUGGCAGACGGGUGAGUAACGCGUGGGAACGUGCCCUUCAGUUCGGGAUAACCAGGGAAACUUGGGCUAAUACCGGAUACGUGCGAGAGCAGAAAGAUUUAUCGCUGAAGGAUCGGCCCGCGUCUGAUUAGCUAGUUGGUGGGGUAAUGGCCCACCAAGGCGACGAUCAGUAGCUGGUCUGAGAGGAUGAUCAGCCACAUUGGGACUGAUACACGGCCCAAACUCCUACGGGAGGCAGCAGUGGGGAAUAUUGGACAAUGGGCGCAAGCCUGAUCCAGCCAUGCCGCGUGAGUGAUGAAGGCCUUAGGGUUGUAAAGCUCUUUCGUCCGGGACGAUAAUGACGGUACCGGAAGAAGAAGCCCCGGCUAACUUCGUGCCAGCCGCCGCGGUAA